AUGGACGCUUCCCCAUCUCGCGGGCUCAUCUCAAGCUCGGGCUCGACUGUGGCCAGGCCCGUCGUGUCCUCUAUGGCCAGUUUCGGCGGCCCCUGCAGCCGGCUUGCCUCGUCGUUCCCCGCCUCCAUCCGUCGAUGGGGGAACUCCGGAUUUUGCGGGAGGAGGCCAUGGACGCUGGUGGCCAGCAACCUUUGCCACGCCCCGUCCCCCUCUCCAACUCUCCGACGAUCCUCCUCAAGGUCGCCGGCGGUGGUGAUGACGACGAGGGAGCCGAGCACGCGGCGGCUGGCUCGAGCGCAUGGAGGCGCACUGCGCGCGCGGUCUCGCAGCAUCUUCUGUGUUCAACGCCCAAGGCACCAUAGACUGCGGACGUGGGAGAUAGAGCUGCUCCCCAAGUCAGGGGCGCGUGGACGGGAGGUCGCCUUCAACAUGGUCGACUGCAAUUUCAAGUUCUUCGAGGGCAAAUGGUCUGUCCAGGAGAGCUACUGUAUAUGUGUCGAUGAACCAUGUCAAGCAGCUCAGGGUGUUAAAGAAGCUAGUAUUGGGCCUGUCUGGUCAAGCGUUCGUGCUCAGAGGCUGUUCGUAUCGAACAGAACAGUUCGGUCGAUCGCUACUCCCGUGCCGAACGAUAUGUUCGGGCUGGUUGAGGUAGUCUGCUCUUCAACCAGCUCCACAAGAAAACCUAGAUCGCCUCUCCUCCUCUUGCCGCCGCCAUGGUACACUGCUGGUCACAGCCCACGCAUAGCUGUCGGCAACGAGGACGUCCUUCGGAGAUGUUGUGCCCUGGUGGGCCGCGCGAUAUGGAGGGGAUGGCCGGCUACUGCGUGUGCAUUGGUGGGUGGUCUGGACUGCGUCUCAGCUCCAGCGUGUUGGCUGCCUUCAGUGGCAGCCCGACCUAGACUGGUCAUUGGAGAAGGGGGCUACAUGACGGGAUCCUAG
rnacentral:rRNA from 1 species